GAAAACCCUGACCCAUCCAUCUUCAGCACAUUCACAUGUGUAAUAAGGUAAGUGAUUUUUAAUUCCACCAGGUUUAAAGACCCCUGACGUGACUUAUUGCCAUUCUGCUACUGAGCCUUGAGAGAUUAUGGUAAGUGCCAAGAAAAAAAAAAUGACUUUGAACUGCUCUUUCACCAGUUAAAAAUAACACUGAAACCAAAUGUAAACAUAAAAGAAGUGGUCAGAUUCGGGUUACAUAUUAACGGUGUUUGGUCAGGCUGGAGCUGAGGCACAGCAGCAGAGAAUGCCUUUUACUUAUCACUGUUUCCAAACCUCCCUACCUGGACUAGGCUUGACUGGAUUUACAAGAGACCUUUUGAAAAGAUGCAGAGAAGGCAAGCAGCACACAUUUCCUGGUAAUAAAUUUUAAAGGUUGCUAAAACAUUCCAGAGAUUUUCACUCAACAUUCCUCUGGCCAACACAUCUGCAAUCUGCCAAUCCUUAAAAAUAGGUGUUUUUGCAUUUUAAUCUCACAAACAUCUUUGAAAAUGCAUUUCUUCUCUGCCCCUGUGUUGGACAAAUCCAGCUUUUUCCAUUUUCUAAAAACCACAGAAAUAUAAUGCUGCUUAAUUCAUACAAGACUGAGCUAACUGGAGUUAAAAUAAAAUUUCUGAGAGUUUGUUUGGCUCACUCUUCCCUACCAGAUGAUUCCAUUCUUAAAACGGUCCUGUGAUUAUAUUCUCUCAUUACAGAGGUGUCCAGAAAAAAAAUAAGGAGUGCAGUUCUGAAAUUAUAUAAAAGCAAAAUUAUUACUCUAAACGUAAGAGCUGUGAUAGAUCGUGUCAUUGACCAUGGUUCUUUUCCCCUGACACACACGUCCCCACCACCCACCCACUGUAUCCAUAUGCCUUUUGCCAUAUGACUUUGCAGCUCUCCCCACUAAAGGGGCAGCCAUGCGAUUUGCUUUGGCCAAUGAAAUGAGGCAGUAGUGGUGGUAUCCUAGUUCUGAGCCUAGGUCUCAAGAAGUCUUAUGUGUUUCUGCUUAUCCUCUUAUACCUCUGCCAUCACCAUGAGCCAAACAUCCCCCAAGUAGCCCACUGGUCCCAGGACAAGGAGGGAGACAUGAAGCAGAGCUCAUCCAGCUGCUGCAGCCCCACUUGACCCAGAGACCUACACUGGGAAGCAGAGCUGCCCAGUCAAGUCCAACCUGGAUGUGUGGAACCCCAGCCAACCUGAUGCAUGAGCGCUCACGGCAUUGGAAGACAUCAUAAACAUUAAUGGAGAGCGGGAUGCCAGAAUAAGUUGAUCCAAAUGAUGCAGGAAUAUUUAGCAGCAAGGAGAAAGGAAUUCACAUUUCUCAGUACCCACUAUGUGCCAUACUUUGUGAUAAGAUGGUUUCCCUCCAAUAUAUCCUCAUUGUCAGCAAUGUCGGGAAACAGGAAUCAUUUCCCCUUCUACAGGUGAUAAAACUGAAGCAAGAAACAUACAGGCUAACAUCAGCUGAGCUGAGAUUUGAACUCCACUCUUUUUGACCCUGGAGCUGAUGAAUGCUGCUUCUAGAGGUUGAGUAUCCCUUAUCCGAAAUCCUUGGAACCAGGAGAUUUUUGGAUUUGGGAAUAUUUGCAUAUACAUAAUGAGAUAUCUUGGAGAUGGGACCCAAGUCUAAAUACAAAAUUAUUUUGUUGUAUAUACACCUUGUACACAUAGACUGAAGAUAAUUUUAUACAAUAUUUUAAAUAA
rnacentral:lncRNA from 1 species